CUCUCUCUUCCAGAUCUGAAACCCAGAGACCCCCCAGAAGCCCUUGGUUCAGCUACAAGGACGAUCGCGGAUAUAUAGCCACAAAGGUGACUGUAGAUGACAAAUAUGCUCCGGAGAACCCUUGCUACUUCUGCGAGCAGUGCUAUUAGCUUCUUCACUAAAAGGGUGAUGGUUCUCUGCAUUAUCAGGACUUUGAAGUGUGAUUAUCAGCAUGAUCAACCGCGUUGAUGCAUUGAUGUCUUUGUAGAAUGCCACCAAAGUAACUCCCUCUUCAUGUCUUUUAUAUUACUUCUCCUUUUAUUCCUUGAUUUGGCUCUCUGCACGUCACAGCAAUGUGAAUACGAAAAUUGGCCAUCAUUACGCUCAUGAAUGUGCUGUGCAAUUCUGUAGAAAUGGAAUAUCUGCAUAGUACAGUUCAAUAUAUGCAGAGAAAAGCAUGAUUGUAUAUAUUGCAUAUGUAUCUGAAGGUUGCACUCAUUUGAAUUUGAAAUUAGCUGAACCAAGUCCAUUUUUUAAUUGAAUACUUUGACUACAAGCCUGUUCUCCUUCAAUGACUAGGGAUUUGAUUAUUCUUACAUGAGAUCCACACAAAAGGGAAAGUGCAGCAAAACUGCGUUUGAAACACAACCAGACUGA
rnacentral:lncRNA from 1 species